CCGAAGCUUGACGGGACAAUCAAUACCUGUAACAACGUAUUUUGUUAAAUAACAUUACCUAAUUGUUGAAUGAAAUGCGAAAUGUGUUAUAUAGGCUGAGCUGUAGUUAGAAACUUCGUGUUUGUUGACAACGGUUAAGAAGUAAUGUCGCACAAGGAUGAAUUUGAGUCUGGACCAAAAGAGUCUGUCGGACCCUGUCCAAGUGAGGAAAACCAGAAUCAAAGUUCUGAAUCGCUUUUGAAGUUUUUUGGUGAAGAGAUGCUAAAACGGUUACAAGAUGGGAAUUUCUCAAAUAUGUUUCAACCUCCUACUAAAACAGAGCCUUCUACUGAUAGGGAGCUGCAAGUAUGGAAGAAGGAAGAUGACACGAGUGUCG